GGAUGGAGAAGAGGAACAAGAAGGGAAAAUAUGAAGAAAGAGAAGGAGAAGAAGAAUGGGAAGGAGAAGAAGAAGAGGAAGAAGAAGGAGAAGAAAAACCGGAAACAGAAUAAUAUGACUCAGCCGGAAGUCGGCUCUUGUUCGGCACAAAGAAUCGGCUCUUAGAUCCGGCUCGUUGGUGAACGACACAUCACUAGAACAUUAAAAGCUCGUCGAUUUGUGCUGCUGGUGCUGUUGUGUCUCAGACAUGGAGUCCUGCAGGGUUCCUCACCAUGUCCUGCUUUCAUUCACCCUCAUCUUCAUCUUCAUCUCUAUCCCAGGAUUUACUCCAGAGUUCAGGAGCUCAAAGUGUGAACAUUCUUACUGCAGUGCAUCU